rnacentral:rRNA from 1 species
AUUGAACGCUGGCGGCAUGCCUUACACAUGCAAGUCGAACGGCAGCAUGGAGAGCUUGCUCUCUGAUGGCGAGUGGCGAACGGGUGAGUAAUGCAUCAGAACGUACCGUGUAAUGGGGGAUAACGUAGCGAAAGUUACGCUAAUACCGCAUACGACAUGAGGGUGAAAGCAGGGGAUCGCAAGACCUUGCGCUAUACGAGCGGCCGAUGUAAGAUUAGCUAGUUGGUGAGGUAAAGGCGCACCAAGGCGACGAUCUGUAGCGGGUCUGAGAGGAGGAUCCGCCACAAUGGGACUGAGACACGGCCCAGACUCCUACGGGAGGCAGCAGUGGGGAAUUUUGGACAAGGGGGGCAACCCUGAUCCAGCCAUGCCGCGUGAGUGAAGAAGGCCUUCGGGUUGUAAAGCUCUUUCGGCCGGGAAGAAAUCGCACAGGCUAAUACUCUGUGUGGAUGACGGUACCGGCAUAAGAAGCACCGGCUAACUACGUGCCAGCCGCCGCCGUAA